CCGCGGCUGAGGCAGGACCUGACGGUUAUUAAAAAUGGUAGAGCUGCAGCAGUGGAGCAUUGGCGCCAUUUUCAAACUUCAGAGCCUCAGUGACUGGAACUCUUGUAACAGCUACAUUAUUCCUCAUUAUGAUUUCUUUUUUUUUUUUUCAAAUUCUUUCCUCAAGACCUUUCAUUACUUAACUAUUAUUUGAUAAACAUUGGGAACUGGAAGAGUAUUUUCAUGAAAGGUGCAGGAGACCGACUACACUGGAAGAGGGGAGUCCGGCGGGUUACUUUGGGAAUACCAGGCACCUUUUUCUCUCCCCUGUUGCCUAACAUGCUGGAGAACGGGGAUCGAGGAAGAGAAGCGAUCUGUUCACAUUGCAUUCUCAUCCAAUUUCGAUCUGUCUUUAUUUAUUUAUUUGGAUAACUUGGCACUAAAUAUCCAUAAGACAUUUCUAUAUCACAUGUAAUCCAACAAUAAAUUUUG
rnacentral:lncRNA from 1 species